CUGGCAAUUCUACUCAUUUUGUUGUGUUUAAAAUAUAUGAAAAGAAGACGCAAGUGUCAGAACACCACUGAAAUGCAUUGCAAGAAAAAUGGUAUAUCAUCAGAUGAGGAAUCUAACAAGUUUAACACUGAGAAUCUGUGAUUCUUCUAGAAAGUCCAAGAUGGUUUUUGUGAAAGAGUGAAAGCUUCUUCUUAGAGUGUGAACAUCUUUUCCCUCUUGUAUGUCCUGCUCACCCCAAUUCUGUGGCCAUCAGUUCAUGUUGCCUUUUUUAGUGCCUUGAACAUUACAUCUAGAAAUGCCUUAGUCAUAUGAAAGGUAAUAAGCGGAGCUAAUUUCCUAUCCGUAGAAUAUGCCCUUAUCCUUACCUUUGCCAAAAUGUCACCUGUAGCCACAAUGGAGCAUGCUCAAAGAAUGUUUGAAUGUAACUUGUUUGUGUGAUCUUGGGUUUAUUAUACUCAUCCCAUUGUUCCAUGUUCUUAAUGACAGUUGCACUUAUGUAAUAAUGCUUAUGAUGUUUGAUUGAAUUUCUCUGCCUUUUUUCCCCAUUACAGUCAGUUUAUAGGUGUGUUUUCUUAUUCAGAAUUAUUAUGGACCUGUACAUCAUAGUAAAUAUAUUUAUUUUCUGUAUUAUCAGAUUAUUUUUAAGACAUGUUAUAUUUAAAUGGUAGAAUCUUAAGUGAUUCUGUAGUCCAUGUCUGUUUAUGUUUAGAUGGGGCUGAAAACGAUUAAGUGAAAAAUCAUAAACGAAAGGCAUUAACUUUAGGUAUAAGCACAAAAAGUUUCACCUUGUUACCUUCAACAUAGUUGACAAUUGAUAAAGCUGAAACAAAAUUAUCUUAAAAAGUAUACAACACCAGUAGUCUAACAUUUGCUGACACAAAAUUAUUAGCUUGUGUGCAAAUGUUUUUCUAAGUAACAUUUUAUUAUUGAAAUCUUUAUGAUUAAUUUGAAAGCAUUUUGAGUGAACAUACCCAGUGAUGUUGCCUCUAAAGUUGCACUGAUGUCUAGGUAGAGAAAUAAUUUACUAAACUGUUAAUAAUGCUGAGUGUGGGAAACCAUAUCUAGCAAAUUUAAAGUGUGCCUAUUUUACUCCUACUGGUUAUGUAGAUUUUUAAGAUGUAUCAUUUUGCUAACCAAUGUUUAAUUUAGUAUUUUGCUGCUAGUAAUUUCUUGCCAGUCCUUCCCAGGUGUGUGUGUGUGUGGGUUUUCUUCCCAUAUCACCAAAGAUGCGCACAUUGCAUUCAUUGGCAAUUCCAACUGGCCCCAUGUGAGUGUGAAAAAUCAAUAAUCUUUUUCUGUAAUGAAUUAGAACAUUUUUUUAUUCUCAUGUUUUUAUGAAGAAAAAGAUAAAGUUCCUACCGCAGUAGACUUCAAAG